rfam:Sporothrix schenckii ATCC 58251 unplaced genomic scaffold supercont1.3, whole genome shotgun sequence.
GGUCCUAUAGUCUAGCGGUUAGGACAUUGGAUUCUGAUCUCGUCGCAGAACACCUUCCAGUAGCCCCGGUUCGAUUCCGGGUAGGACCU